rnacentral:rRNA from 1 species
UACGUAGGUGGCAAGCGUUGUCCGGAAUUACUGGGCGUAAAGCGUGCGCAGGCGGUUGGGUCAGGCGCUGGUGAAAGCCCCACGCUCAACGUGGGAAUGGCCAACGAGACGGCCCGACUGGAGGCAGGGAGAGGCCGGUGGAAUUCCGGGUGUAGUGGUGAAAUGCGUAGAUAUCGAGAGGAACACCUGCGGCGAAGGCGGGUUGCUGGGCUGACACUGACGCUGAGGCGCGAAAGCCAGGGGAGCGAACGGG